UGAGGAAUAUUGGUCAAUGGGCGAGAGCCUGACGGAGCAACGCCGCGUGAGUGAUGACGGCCUUCGGGUUGUAAAGCUCUGUUAAUCGGGACGAAAGGUCUUCUUGCGAAUAGUUAGAAGGAUUGACGGUACCGGAAUAGAAAGCCACGGCUAACUACGUGCCAGCAGCCGCGGUAAUACGUAGGUGGCAAGCGUUGUCCGGAAUUAUUGGGCGUAAAGCGCGCGCAGGCGGAUCAGUCAGUCUGUCUUAAAAGUUCGGGGCUUAACCCCGUGAUGGGAUGGAAACUGCUGAUCUAGAGUAUCGGAGAGGAAAGUGGAAUUCCUAGUGUAGCGGUGAAAUGCGUAGAUAUUAGGAAGAACACCAGUGGCGAAGGCGACUUUCUGGACGAAAACUGACGCUGAGGCGCGAAAGCCAGGGGAGCGAACG
rnacentral:rRNA from 1 species